UAAAGGCAUGGUCCUGACCUUAUUAUUAGCUUUAACCCGACUUACACAUGCAAGUCUCCGCAACCCCGUGAGUAUGCCCUUAAUCCCCUGCCCGGGGACGAGGAGCGGGCAUCAGGCACAAACUUUUUAGCCCAAGACGCCUGGCCGAGCCACACCCCCAAGGGAAUUCAGCAGUGAUAAAUAUUAAGCCAUAAGUGAAAACUUGACUCAGUCAGGGUUUAAGAGGGCCGGUAAAACUCGUGCCAGCCACCGCGGUUAAACGAGAGGCCCUAGUUAAUGAUACGCGGCGUAAAGGGUGGUUAAGGAAAGCAUAACAAUAAAGCCGAAUGGCCCUUUGGCUGUCAUACGCUUCUAGGUGUCCGAAGCCCAAUAUACGAAAGUAGCUUUAAUAAAGCCCACCUGACCCCACGAAAGCUGAGAAACAAACUGGGAUUAGAUACCCCACUAUGCUCGGCCAUAAACCUAGACGUCCAGCUACAAUUAGACGUCCGCCCGGGUACUACGAGCAUUAGCUUGAAACCCAAAGGACCUGACGGUGCCUUAGACCCCCCUAGAGGAGCCUGUUCUAGAACCGAUAACCCCCGUUAAACCUCACCACUUCUAGCCACCCCAGCCUAUAUACCGCCGUCGUCAGCUUACCCUGUGAAGGCAAUAAAAGUAAGCAAAAUGGGCACAGCCCAGAACGUCAGGUCGAGGUGUAGCGUACGAAGCGGGAAGAAAUGGGCUACAUUUUCUACAAUAGAACACUACGGACAUGCAACAUGAAAUUAGUGCUUGAAGGAGGAUUUAGUAGUAAAAAGGAAGCAGAGUGUCCUUUUGAACCCGGCUCUGAGGCGCGUACACACCGCCCGUCACUCUCCCCUGUCAAAAUGCAAUAAAGAUAUCUAACACCAAAGCGCUGACGAGGGGAGGCAAGUCGUAACAUGGUAAGUGUACCGGAAGGUGCACUUGGAUUAAAUU
rnacentral:ncRNA from 2 species